CUCGUUUUUAUGACAAUAGUCGCAGGCUAGACAAAAUAGUAACUAACCUGUCAGGACUCCAAUGUCCUUUGUAUCAUUUACCCAGCAUUCCUCUUCCUUCGCUGUUUGGAUUUCAUCUUCCUGUGUAAUGUUGGUAGCUGCAGUGGACGAAUCAGCUGGUUCCAGCUUGACGAAUAAGUACUACCAUUUACAAAAGGUAUUCUAUG
rnacentral:lncRNA from 1 species